rnacentral:rRNA from 1 species
GAUGAACGCUAGCUACAGGCUUAACACAUGCAAGUCGAGGGGCAGCAUGGUCUUAGCUUGCUAAGGCCGAUGGCGACCGGCGCACGGGUGAGUAACACGUAUCCAACCUGCCGUCUACUCUUGGACAGCCUUCUGAAAGGAAGAUUAAUACAAGAUGGCAUCAUGAGUCCGCAUGUUCACAUGAUUAAAGGUAUUCCGGUAGACGAUGGGGAUGCGUUCCAUUAGAUAGUAGGCGGGGUAACGGCCCACCUAGUCUUCGAUGGAUAGGGGUUCUGAGAGGAAGGUCCCCCACAUUGGAACUGAGACACGGUCCAAACUCCUACGGG